UUUUACUGUAGGUAUGAAAUAUGUAAUAAAUAAUAAGGCAACUAUAAUACUGUGUACCUACUGUGAUAGUUUAUAAUAUUUUAGCCUUCUCUUCACUCUCGCUGCGGAACCCGUGAACGCCGCAAAACUAUAGUGUGGAUGUCCGAAGUUUCCGGACAUAGAGACUGUCGGGUGCAUCCAAAAAUCGCUUUAGUGCACCGUUCAGUGCAAUCACUUUAGUUUCCACAAAUGGUUCCGUACCAUCGUCCAAGAAACAAUACUAUUUUUAUAAUUUUCAUGGCGUCCAUUUUGAUUUUUUUUUAUUUUUCAACUCUCUACCUACUCUUAUAACGAUUCACGAGAUACAGCCCGCUGACAGAUGGACGGACGGACGUACAGCGAAGGCUUAGAAAUAGAGUCCCAUUGGCACCCUUCGGGUACGGAGCUCUAAAAACGAAAUCGGAUAUGGAAAGUCGCGAAACAGAAACGCGAAGCCUCAAAACCAUCUUCAAUAUUUCGUGGCGUUUACGACUGUCGCGAUGCGAGUGAAGUGAAGAGCGGGCUUUUAAACGUAUUUUAUAUUUUAUCAAUGUUGAUUUUUUAUUUUUGUGACUGGGAUUAGUUUGUAUAAGUCUAUUAUAAUCGUAUUUGUAAGGUUUAAUGGGAGCAAUAUUGUAAUGUUAUAUUAUUUUAUUUUUAUAAAGAUUUAUUAAUAUACGAUUUUUUGAAACAA